rnacentral:lncRNA from 1 species
CACAGCUCAUUUGCUCUUUGGAGCCCUGUAGUGUUAAGCAGGGAGUUGGAGUACUUCAGUUACCACAACCUCAAAGGAGAGAUUGGAGAUUUACAUGCAGAAAAUCUUUCCUUCCUCAAGAAAUCCAACAAAGAAUCCUUGUAAGCACCAGGUGCAAGAAAACCAAGGUUUCCUUCUAGCUUAGAAGACACCGAGCUCCUUUUUGCAACGUGGUGUGUUGGUGACAGGAGAGUUCCAGGGGCUAAUGAGGAGACGCAGAAUCACAAUGAACCUAGUGACCAUUUCAAAUCUAAUCCAAGUAAGUAUUUUUCAUUUAUCUUUAAUCUGGUAUCUAAUCG